AUCCGUAAUUCGUUUGUAAUUAUAAAACGAAAAUACCGCUUUUCUGUUUUUUGUUUCAAAACGAAUACCAAAUAACCGUUAUUUGUGUUAGAAUCAAAAAACGAAAAACCAAUUAAAAACGGCCGGUUUUUCGUUUUUGGCGAUGAGAUUGAUCGUUAUUCCUUUUUGAACAAAGAAUGAAGAGUGUCUUUGAACUUCAGUCAAUUCGUUUUUCGUUUCUUGCAAGUUGUGCCCGCUGCAGAGCAAAAUGGGCGGAGCUGGAGCUCUAGCGAGGCGGGGCACCCUCGCUGGAUCUAGUGGGCGUGGCAGCAUCAAGUGCGCAGGCGCAGAUAGAAUUUGCUUAAACUUGCUGUACAGCCUGUAUCAAGUACUCCGGAGUAUUGCACGGUAAGAAACCGGUAAUUUAAAGACAAACUGAGCUUUAAUAUGUAUAUAAAAUCUUAAUCUUACAAUUAUCGCUUACUUUCGGGAGUAUGUUGAGUUUCGCGUUAAACACUCGAUAGCUAAUGUGCUAACAUUCUCCCGUCCACCACAAGUGGUACGUACUACGUAGUGUUUUAUUGUAGUUUUUAUUUUUUUAUGUAAAUAUUUGUUUAACCUGCACAGGUGCACCAGACAAUACUUUAGCGAGCCGAGGACAGAAUCUUCUGCUGUCUAUAUCACUGUUCCUACUGUAAAUACACGAGCUCUGAAAUCAUGCAGUUCAACAAAAAGAUUUUAUCAUCAUCAAGCAUGGUCUCAAGUACAGACGAUCCCACACUUUCACUGCUGUUACUGUACAUCAACAUUUUAAAAUGUGUAAAAAUCCAGCCUCUGGACAACCUUCCAUUGGCUGCAGCACCACCUUCAUCUCCAGCAUCAGCAUCUCCACCUUAACUUCCCCUCGACAUUGGAACAUGUCUGUACUGAUUUUGAGGGUGCCCCUCAACAGCUAGAAGGAAUUGAUUGUGGGGUAUUUAUGUUGAUGUCAAGUCCCACAACUACUCACCCAGAAAGUAACAUAUGCAGAUAACAUGAAAUUCACUCCACCUGAGUCAGAUGUCAUGGAGAUCAUCCAGACACCAGAAGUAGAUCACACAGGACUCAGCGGUGAUGAGAAACAUUCAGCUGACCUGUGAGUGGGUAAAGGAGACCACUUGCUGGGAAGAUGAGCUGCAAAAGAUCUAAAGGAUGAUGCCCUGUUGGCUAUAACAAUGUUGGACUUGUUUAUAAACACCAUGUUUUAUGAGGGUGAAAGGAAUGAAGAAGAAAUGUUGACUCCCUUCCCUUUUAUAUUUUAGAGAAGAGCAGGAGAUAUAUGAGACAAAAGAGUUAUUCGUGGGUUUUGUUUACACAAAAAACCCUGCCUUGUGAAUCUACUAGUGGGGAUAGACUAAUGUAAAUAUUGAUUUUUUUGAUUGGUUUUGUAAAAUACCAUUAAACGUUUGUGUGAACUGUAAAGUGAUGUGUU